CAUUAUUAAACAUACGGCUAAAAAUAAUAGGCCGUGAACUGCAGUGCAUCGUGAGCAUAGUUCAUCCUACAAUUGCAUGUCUCGCAGCAACUGUUCAAAACAUUACUGAAGUUCAACAUUUAACCUAUUUGUUAUUGGUGUUUUAAAAGGCUAGAUUGUGGCACUUGUCGCAAGAGACACACGCAUAGCAUUAACGGAGCAAAGCCGCUGCAGCUUCAUGGUGUAGCACUUUGUGAAACAAGAAAGAUACAUAAAAGACUAACAAUUACGCACAUUCUAAAGGAGUGAGGAAAAAAUAUCAGGGUGUAUGACGAAGCGAAGAUGUGAGCUGCGACAAAGCGAGAGAGAGAAUGCGCGGACGACAAAGGAGAGAGCAUAAAACGGAUGCACCAAUACCACUACCAAUUAUUAUCCAUCAGUGAAAAGCCACCACACACCGCACUCGCCCAUACACACACGUACGCUUGUGUGUGCGGGAGCGAAAUGGUGUUUGAAAGAAGCGAAGAAAACAACUCACUUCCCGAAAGUAUUACACCAACCAAGCAGGAAGGAGUUUCUGGCAUCAGCAUGAAUAUGGGACCGAACAGCAGGAC